rnacentral:rRNA from 1 species
AAAAGGGAUUACCGGUGGCGGAUGGGCAUGCGGCGCAUUAGCUAGUCGGCGGGGUAACGGCCCACCGAGGCGACGAUGCGUAGGGGUUCUGAGAGGAAGGUCCCCCACACUGGUACUGAGACACGGACCAGACUCCUACGGGAGGCAGCAGUGAGGAAUAUUGGUCAAUGGGCGCGAGCCUGAACCAGCCAAGUCGCGUGAGGGAUGACGGUCCUACGGAUUGUAAACCUCUUUUGCCGGGGAGCAAGCGUGCGUUCGUGAACGCGCGUCGAGAGUACCCGGAGAAAAAGCAUCGGCUAACUCCGUGCCAGCAGCCGCGGUAAUACGGAGGAUGCGAGCGUUAUCCGGAUUUAUUGGGUUUAAAGGGUGCGUAGGCGGGAUGCCAAGUCAGCGGUAAAAAUGCGGUGCUCAACGCCGUCGAGCCGUUGAAACUGGCGUUCUUGAGUGGGCGAGAAGUAUGCGGAAUGCGUGGUGUAGCGGUGAAAUGCAUAGAUAUCACGCAGAACUCCGAUUGCGAAGGCAGCAUACCGGCGCCCUACUGACGCUGAGGCACGAAAGCGUGGGUAUCGAACAGGAUUAGAUACCCUGGUAGUCCACGCAGUAAGCGAUGAAUGCUAACUGUCCGGCUCGAAUGAGCGCUGG